GUCCAGGGCCCCACACACCCCUAGGGAUGGCCCUGCCCCUUGCAGUGGGCGCAGCCCACGCAGGGGCCAGCCAGGAGAUAGGGCUGGCUGCCGGAGCUGGCGCUGCCAUAUAUGCAGCAUACAGCUGCCUAGGGCACCAUGAAAUUUGGGGCAAUUUGGUGCCCUACGCAGCUGCAUAUCCUGUGUAUGCCUAGGGACGGCCCUGCACCUCUGGCAAGAAUGGUUUAGCAGUAACCAGAGAGGGGGGAGAACUCUAUCAGCAGCAGGAGGAUCAUCUUGACUUGCCCUUUACCUUGGGGAGAGGAUUUUAACAAGGGGCUCCCAAUAAUGCCUUCCAGUCUGAGAACAAGGUUAUGAAUUUGAAAGAAGAAUUUAGCUCUUUUGAGUCAGGAGCAGUAUAUGCCAGGCAUCAAGGAGGCCAUUUUCCAUCAUUGGAAAGUUUUAAAGGCAGACAGAUUCUUGUUUGAUGUUUUCAGACAUACCAGUUUAAAGCUAAUCAGGCAAAGUAAUUUUCUAGUCCUCUGAGUUUUGUACUUGUGUGUUGUGCUGGCUAAAGGACCUGAUAUUAGCCAUACUAUAAAGAGCUAUGAAAUCUGAGAUUAUUGCUGUGCCCUUAUGGUUCAUGCAGGAACCUGUAGCGCUUUUAAGCUCAACCAUCUUUAUGGGAAAUUGACUUGAUCCAGGUAAAGGGAAGUUUUGUCAAAGUGCUCUCACUAUUAAAGCUGAAUAGUUUGGUAAAUUUACAUGGUUGCAUUUCCAAAACACUGUGCUUAAAACAAUUAGAGCUAAACGAGAGCCAGAGUCCUAGCAAGAUUUCACUGGCAGUUCCCAUUUGUGUCAAUGGGAAAGAUGUAUCAAAUUAAAAAUGGUUUACAACUGCUUUAUAUAAGUGACAGCUGUAUUAACUAUUCGUACCAGACUAAAGUGUUUUACUGCUGUUUUUUAAAUGUAGGCUCUUUAAAAAAAACCUGUAUCAUGUUAAGAUAUUUUUGUUAUGAAUAAAUAGGAACAUAUGAACUUUAUCAAAUUAAACUGGGGACAUAUUGGUUUAAUUCCUGCUCACCGUGCCCAUAUAACCCCACUAACUUCAGCAAGAAAAUGUACAUGAGCAAGGCAAGAAAGAUUUGGUUUAUUGUAAAUAAAUUUCAAAUAAACCUACUAUUUAUUUUACAAAAGGGAAAAUAUUUUCAAACUACAAUCCCAUUAAAAUGACAAGGCUCCAGUCUCAUUUUCACACUGGUGCAGCUCCUUACACUCCAGCAGAGUUACUCUCAACAUAAACCAGUGUAUGUGAGAGCAGAAUCAAACCUAGAGGUGUCAGUCCUAUUUUGUUACCUGUCAUUUGGUACCUGUCAUUAGGGGGGCGGUCAGGAGGGAGGUGUGGAGAGAUUGUAGCGAUAUGAGCCAGGAAAAAUUAUGCUUCUCGUCUAUCCUUGUCUUAGAUGAACAAUUCUUUUUUGUCUCUUCUGUGCUUGGUGUUAUCUUUGACUGGAAUAAAGAUUUACAAGUCUGAAAAUCUGAGCAGAUUUCAAAUAAAUAGUUUGCAAAAAAAAACCCCAAAAACCUUAAAUGUAAUCUAUAUUUUAAAACCCACCAAAACAUACAGACUCUGACCUUAUUUAGGAUAGCAUCUCCAACUACUUUACACUAAUUGCAGAGGAUACACGGAUGUUGCUUGUAAAAUACAAAGCAGAGUAGUGUAAUAUACUGACACUGCUGUUGUGCUCUUUUUCCAAACACGCCAGCAAAAUCACAAUAAUAAUGACAGUAUGUGGGAAUAAUAUGUAAACAGUGAAGCAAUGGGACUAAACACUGGAAGAAAGGCAAGUAUUAAAAUAAUAGAAUGGAUAUUAGAUUCGUUCAAGGCUUUCUAUUACUUUUUUAACAUAUUUUCAAAGUAGAGAGUUUGGGGAGGCCUGGGCAAAACUUUGAAAGUGUUCUGGGACGUUCCUCUGUAGGUAAACCUAUUAGCCAUGUGGUCCGCUUCUGUAUCUCUUGAAAGGAAAAAGCCUUUCUUUUUGGUAAAGUGCAACCAUUUUAAAAACGGUGUCAGCAACAGUUUUUAUGGACCAUGGCCCAACAUGUCUCCUUUUGAUUAACACUAAACCUUUCCACUGGCUGACCACGAUUAAUGGACAAAUCCUAUUCCCUGUUUCGACACUGACUCCCUGAUUUCCAAGAUAUGCCCCUAAGUGCAGUACUAGUUGUGUCUGACAUGUCCUAAAAGUGAUCACAUCUCCUUGGCACUUAUCUAAACAGUUGCUCUAGAAAGAGAGAAACACCAGUGGUAGCACCAAGCAUUCAUUCUCUAUUUAGACAGAGAUUUUCAGUAUGAGUAGAGACUUCCCCUUUUCUCGCAGUAUAACCUGGAGGAAGAAUAGACUUCUUGUGUGAACAUGUGCUGUAGCUGCGUUCUUGUAGAAUUAAACAGUAAAUUUACUUUUAGAGGCUGAACCCCUCGCCUCCCCCCCCCCCCCCCGCAGCCACAUGACUUUAAAAUAAACACCAGUCACUAGAGAAUUACCAGCUGUUCUGGUUAGAAAAGUGUAUUCAUCCUCCACAGACCAUAAUUCCCCCACCACCAAGAAUGUAGCCUAAAGGCUAUAAAAAUAUAAAUACAUUUUCCAUCAGGGAGAUUAUAUUAUAUAGCUCCUUGAUAGCAAAAUUAUAUAAUACAGGGUAGUAAAACGGCACAAAGUGUGACUGAAUCAGACCAUAGACUUUACAGACAUCAAAUUUUACUAAAUAUACAAUCAAUCAAUAAAUAUGAAAAAUAAUUAAAUUCAGCUGGGGAGGUGUCACUCAUAUGUUAAGCAAUCCGCUUACAGUCCUUGACUCAAAAUGAUAAAAAAGUCUUGGCAACAGAGCUUGUUCUGCAGAGAUCACAACUUCUUGGCCUUUUUAUUAUUAUUAUUUUGGACGGAGUUGAGAUGGACAGUUAAUCUCCCUGUUGAUGUGAGCAAGAAAAGAAGUGGUUUGCAUGUAGCUUUUCACCAAAUAUAAAACAAAAGGCAGUGCUUUUUCCUCUGUUAGUCUUUUUCAAAGAAGCCAACAUGGAACUAGUUCUAGUGCAGAGUCCCUUAACACAGGAAGAAAAUUAUGGACUAUUGACCUGGAAUGUAGUGAAGGAAUCACAACUCUACAUCGGUUUAGCCUUAUAACAAAGAUCCUUUAAAGGGGAAUGAGGUGUGCAUGAUCUAUGUCACUUCAACCCAGAUAAAUUAUCCAAACUACCAGGGCUAGACUAGAACCUGAUAGUCUGCCCUAAGCAAGUGAAGAUGUACAACUGCAGAGAGACACAAUUCCUCCCCUGCUCCCCACUUGUUCUGUGGGGAGAAGCUAACUACUUCUCCCUUUUUCCCCCCGCACAGAGCACCUUCCCUAUGCCCAGCCAGCUGCUCUGACUGACAAGUGGGAUGGAACCAGGUCUCUUCCCACUCCCUUCCUGCCCACUAUCUCACAGUGGGGAGUAUCAGGAGAGCAGCCCCUCAACCAGGCCUCAAGGUUGAAGUCACAAUCUGAGCAGAGAAAUAAAGAAGGGGCCCUGCAUUGCCAGGUUGACAUGAUUAUGGAGCAGCUAGUGGAUAUUCUCCAAACUUAAUGGAAUUUGUGAAGCAGGUGAGUGUUGCGAUCCAUAAGUACUUCACUACCUGCACACUUUUCACUGGACACUCCAAGGGCUGAUCUUUCUCAUGCUGAGCAAUAUCAGCAGAAGAAACAGAGAGAACAUGAACGGAAUGAGCCAAGAUAUGACAACAGGUCAGACUGGGAAGAAGCAGCAUGCUGAAUGGCAUCCACACUGCAAGAAGAAAGAACUUCCUAAAUCCUACUGAUCUUCUUGUAAAAGAACAUAGUCAACUGGAGGGUCAAAACUUUUUUUUAAACCCUGAGGAAAAAUGGCCUUUCAACUAAAAUGAAAA